AUUGAACGCUGGCGGCAGGCCUAACACAUGCAAGUCGAACGAGUGGCGGACGGGUGAGUAAUGUCUGGGAAACUGCCUGAUGGUGGGGGAUAACUACUGGAAACGGUAGCUAAUACCGCAUACCAUCGGAUGUGCCCAGAUGGGAUUAGCUAGUAGGUGGGGUAAAGGCUCACCUAGGCGACGAUCCCUAGCUGGUCUGAGAGGAUGACCAGCCACCCGGGAGCGGGGCCACGGUCCAGACGCCUACGGGAGGCAGCAGUGGGGAAUAGUGGACAAUGGGCGCAAGCCUGACACAGCCAUGCCGCGUGUGUGAAGAAGGCGUUCGGGGUGUAAAGCACUUUCAGCGAGGAGGCGUUACUCGCAGAAGAAGCACCGGCUAACUACGUGCCAGCAGCCGCGGUAAUAC
rnacentral:rRNA from 1 species